rnacentral:lncRNA from 1 species
CCAAAUUCUGAUCCCACCACUGACUAGUUCUGUGACCGUAGAUGAAAGGUUUCUGUUCUUUGGUGUCCUCACAUGUAAAAAAGAUAGCAAGAGAGCUUGCCUCAUAGGGCUGAGGUAAGGAACAGGUGAACACCUAGGUUGUACUCUCUCUCUCUCUCUCUCUCUCUCAGGAUUUAAAGAGUACCUAUAUGCACCACCCCGCUGCAUCUUUAAUCAAAUGCAUCUCAUCAGUAAGAAUGACCCUAUUAUUACUACUUCAAUUCCCCCCAUUUCCUUUCUUUUAAAACUAUAUUUAAAACAGUAUUUCCCAUAAGGCUGAUGUUCCUAUUGUCAGUGCUCAAUUUAUAAGAUGGCUUUUGAAAUUCAAGCCGCGUGUGCAGUAGCAGACCCCUGCCCUAACCUGCUUGUUGAGAAUUCCAAAAGGUGGAAAGAAAGGUGGUGCCCACAAGGCAGCUCAGAGUGGGCACCGGGAAGGACCUGUGGCUCCCUGGGGAACACAUCUGCUUUGUGAACAACAGAAUACACUGCUCAAUGAACAGCAAAACAACAGAGAGAAUCCUGAGGUUUCAGAGGAGGCGUGGCAGGCUAGAGACCCCAUUGUAACUGCUUUCUUUGGGGAAGGACUAGGAUUCUCUUUCAUAUUUUAUAUCAGUGUGAUCAGUAAAAAGGUAAAAACAGUGAGAAAGAAAACUAACCACAGCAAUUACAAACAGCAUGCUCAGGGGCACGUCAGGUCAUUUAUGGCCUUGACUAAGUUACUGAAAUCACUGAGCUGCGUUUUCACACGUCCAGAGGCACACACAUCCCACACACCUGCCUUCUUCAGGAAAACGAGGUUAGCGAAUGC